rnacentral:rRNA from 1 species
AACGCUGGCGGCGUGCCUAAUACAUGCAAGUCGAGCGAACGGACGAGAAGCUUGCUUCUCCGAUGUUAGCGGCGGACGGGUGAGUAACACGUGGAUAACCUACCUAUAAGACUGGGAUAACUUCGGGAAACCGGAGCUAAUACCGGAUAAUAUUUUGAACCGCAUGGUUCAAAAGUGAAAGACGGUCUUGCUGUCACUUAUAGAUGGAUCCGCGCUGCAUUAGCUAGUUGGUAAGGUAACGGCUUACCAAGGCAACGAUGCAUAGCCGACCUGAGAGGGUGAUCGGCCACACUGGAACUGAGACACGGUCCAGACUCCUACGGGAGGCAGCAGUAGGGAAUCUUCCGCAAAGGGCGAAAGCCUGACGGAGCAACGCCGCGUGAGUGAUGAAGGUCUUCGGAUCGUAAAACUCUGUUAUUAGGGAAGAACAUAUGUGUAAGUAACUGUGCACAUCUUGACGGUACCUAAUCAGAAAGCCACGGCUAACUACGUG